CGGGGACCGGGGGUACGGGGUAGGUAAGUUAAGUCUCGGUAACGGCGCGAUGGAGGGGGAUAACUACUGGAAACGGUAGCUAAUACCGCAUAACGUCGCAAGACCAAGAGGGGGACCUUCGGGCCUCUUGCCAUCGGAUGUGCCCAGAUGGGAUUAGCUAGUAGGUGGGGUAACGGCUCACCUAGGCGACGAUCCCUAGCUGGUCUGAGAGGAUGACCAGCCACACUGGAACUGAGACACGGUCCAG
rnacentral:rRNA from 1 species